GGAGCCGUAGCGAAAGCGAGUUUUAACUGAGCGUUCAGUUACUUGACGUAGACCCGAAACCGGGCGACCUACCCCUGAGCAGGAUGAAGCGAAAGUAAAAUUUCGUGGAGGUCCGAACCCACGAGCGUUGAAAAGCUCGGGGAUGACUUGUGGGUAGCGGUGAAAUUCCAAUCGAGCCCGGAGAUAGCUGGUUCUCCCCGAAAUAGCUUUAGGGCUAGCCUCAAGGUGAGAGAUACGGAGGUAGAGCACUGAAUGUCCUAGGGGGUAUUGCACCUACCGAAG
rnacentral:rRNA from 1 species